CAGGUUAUAUUAAUAAAGGAGAAGGAGGGGUUUUGUUGUUGGUUGUUAAGUUUGUUGGUUGGUCUUAAUGUUUAGAGGGAGAAGAUCCCAAGAUAUUUCCUGCUGGAACUUAAUCCUGGUCCAAGGUGGGCUAUAUGGCAAGAUGUCACAAUCCUAGAAGAGAGAAAUCUUCCUCAACUGGAAGAGACCAAUGAAAACCUUCAAGAAAAAGACAAUGACAUGCCAAAGUCAACUUCUAGUAGUCAACACCAACUGCUGAGUCAGCGAAAGGAGAUGCUUCAGCAGUAUAAAAAGCAAAAGCAGCUUCAAAAAAUGAAAGAGCGGCGAGAGAGAGCCAAACGAGGGAUAUUUAAAGUGGGGCUUUACAGACCUGACCCACCAAAAUUUCUUAGUUCUCUUCCAGAACAGAAGAUGGGGAAACCUGAAGCAAAGAAGGAAUCUUAAAUGAGACUAUACAAUUAAAUAUCUGUUUUCAGAAGAUACCAAGCUCUGCUAGAUGUUGAAAUACCAAUCUUCGGGGCAUAAACCACAAGAAGACUUCACAAAGCUAUGAAAAGGGCAGAAAAAUAUCAGAUUAGCUUUUGUGUAAUUAGAAUUUGUUCCUUGGAACUCUCUUACCCAGCAUCCCAUUUAUGUGCUCACACUGAAUGUGAAAACUGUAUGUGUAGGUAGGGAAGAUAUACUUUGAUGUAACCCCACCUCUUGUUCUCUUCUUCCCAGAAUGUGGCUGUGGAGGCUGGAGGGAGAGGAAAGUUUACUCAUAUGGUCAUUCUUAAGCUUUGUACGUCUAUUUUUUAUUUCUUCUACUUGAAGUGAUCACUAA